rnacentral:lncRNA from 1 species
AUGUCGCUUGUGCAAAUUAAAAUGCACCUCGGAAUAAUAAAAAAGGGGCUUUUUUUUUUUUCUUCCUUCCCAGCAGCAGUUCCUCAACACAAACCAUUUGUCUCUGGGCAGGAAUUCAAGAAUGUUAACCCUGUGUGUGCUCCUGUGGGGUACACAGCACCUCCUAUGGGAUCAACAAUUACUGGAGACCUAUGCAGUGAAGGAGGCUGCCUUGUGGAGUGGACCUCGCAGAUAGCUGGAACUAUAACCCAGUCCUUUGCUCCUGAGCACAUUGAUGGAGGACUCUCAGGUGGGAUGAAGAGAAGGUCGCUGACUCCACCUUAUGCUUAGAUGGGAGGAAAGAAAAGCCUGCUGUUUGUCCUGGCUUGUGAAGUUGCUUGUGGACAGCUCUGUGCUGCGUGGGCAGUGUCACACAGUCAAUGGGCUUUCCACCAAGAAGGUCAAGUUUGAACGGGGCAGGUAAUCUGAACAGCUCCUAUGUUUCCUUUAAAAACGUUUCUGGUCAGAUUUUAGGCUCAGGGUGGGCACUCCCAAUAUUGACUGUCCCCUUUCUGUCCUGGGAAUACAUGAGGUGGCUGGCACCCAUGCAGUACUGCACAUACGUACGUAUGUGUAUGCAUAAAUGCACCUUCCUUGAACAACUGUCAAAAGAAGAUGUCAUGCUUUCUUCCAAUUUCUGCUGGGGAUUUUAUUAGUAGGGCCUGUUCAGAUGAAGUUCUGAUCUGGAAGUGGUGUCUUAAGCCAUAUCGUCUGUAGAGGAGAACAUGCAGGGAGAAAAUGGGUAAGUUUAACUUCUGUUGAAGAAGGACAAAAGGAACAAAAUGAUAAUACUGGUAUUUACCAAGGGAAUUCAGCUUGCUUUGCAAAGAAGACAAAGAAGAUACAUUUUUUUCUUUUUUUUUUUUCUUCCUUUUUUUUUUCUUUUCUCUUAUAUCCUAAGUAUUUCCUUCCUUUCAAAGAAAAAGUAAAUCUGCCCAGAAAGCAACCCACUUUGAACAGCAGCAAGGACUUAUCUGUAACUUAGGCUGUUAAGGUCCUUGGAGCUGGCACUCAGUCCUUCCAUUUGCAUGUGGAGUGCAGGGAUCUGGAGUGCAGAAGGAAAGAUAAUAAAAUUUACAUAACACUGUACGGAGGUCCCAGAAAGAGCAUCUCCUAGGGUCUGCCAGUGCUCUUUGCUUUCUAUGUGCUUGUGGUUUGUUGCACUGUUAGGGCCUAGGACCUUCAACAAGACUCUGAGGCCUGUUGGUGCAGUGCUCCAGUGAGACCUAAAAAAGCUUUGCUUAGACAUGGUAGGAAAUG